GUGAGGAAUAUUGGUCAAUGGGCGGAAGCCUGAACCAGCCAUGCCGCGUGCAGGACGACGGCCCUACGGGUUGUAAACUGCUUUUGCCCGGGAAUAACCCCCCGCUCUUGAGCGGGGCUGAACGUACCGGGAGAAUAAGGAUCGGCUAACUCCGUGCCAGCAGCCGCGGUAAUACGGAGGAUCCGAGCGUUAUCCGGAUUUAUUGGGUUUAAAGGGUGCGUAGGCGGCCCGUUAAGUCAGGGGUGAAAUACGGCAGCUCAACUGUCGCAGUGCCCUUGAUACUGACGGGCUUGAAUACCGGUGAAGGCGGCGGAAUGAGACAAGUAGCGGUGAAAUGCAUAGAUAUGUCUCAGAACCCCGAUUGCGAAGGCAGCUGCCUAACCGGCGAUUGACGCUAAUGCACGAAAGCGUGGGGAUCGAACAGGAUUAGAAACCCCUGUAGUCC
rnacentral:rRNA from 1 species